rnacentral:sRNA from 1 species
GGAAAGUGGAGGCAGGGGGAUCUCUGAGAGUGAGCUCCUGUCGUCUCAAUGCGCAAACAAUAAUCAAGUUUAAAAGCAAAAUCCUUUGCUGGUUUUAAAGGGUUAUUUAUUAUUAAGCCCGAGAGUUUUCUUUAAAAAAAAAAAUAAUCAAAAUAUAUCGUCUUCGCUUGCUCGCCCUCUUCACCUGUGACCGGGUCUUCAUUCUUUCAGCAGUGACUCCUAAAGGACAGAGUGGAGUGGAAACUUAAGGGUUCCUUGGAAAGUCAGUUGUGCUGGAUGCGUGAAAAGACCUGUGAGGAAGAAUUCUUCACUAACAACACACAUGUGUCGGUCUGCCUUACACUGUGCAGUUAGUCGAGCUCCAUUUGUUGGGACUCCAUAGAGAAAAACACAGAACCCGUGCUGAGGCAAGACACAUGCGUCACGUGGCCCUGAACAAAGGCGGUGAACUUUAUCCGGCAGUAACCUAAUCUCCUGGAUCGUUUACCAACAACACUCAGAGUGAUCUCCGGGAUUACCUUGGGCUUUGGCCAGCACCAGGGAGACUGGGCUGAACAGAAGGAAACUCCGUUCACAAAGAGAUACAACAGGAACCGUGGAGGAGCUGUUGGCUGGCACUCAGCUAGCUUUCUUACAAGGUUUAGGACCAUCUGCCUGGGGGAUGGUGUUAUCUACACAGUAGAUUGGGCCAGUCUACCUCAGUGAACAGUCCCUGCCCCAGACGUGCCCAGAGGCCGUUAUGAGAAGCAGUUCCUUGAUUGAACUCUCUUCCCAGAUAAAUACUAGUUUCUGUCAAUUUGACAGUUAAAGCUGAGUAACUAAGAUGAGCUCAUUUAUGUACGUAUAGACAGUUUCUCAGUAUAGCCCGGGCUAUACCGAGCUCACUGUGUGACUGGAGAUAAUUUUGACCUUCUAAUCCUACUGCCUCCACCUCCCAAGUGCUGGGAUUGCAGGCUCGUGCCGCCAUGGUUGGUUUAUACAGUACUGGGAAUCCAAUCCAGGGCUUCAUGCGUUCUAGCAAGUAAUCCACUAAAGAAACCAUCCUCAGCCUGAGAACGCUUAUAAAUGAGAGAGACUCAGCUUAGGGCAGUUUCUGGCUCUGUGUGGACCACGUUCUCUCCUAGCGUCAGAGCUUUCCUCAGAGUUCUGUGAGAGCAGUGUUAACUGUGGACAGUCCUGGACUCACAUCACCCCAGUUUGUUGCCUCAGAAGACAAAACUCUCCCAGGAUCUUGAGAUGGAUCGAGAUUGAGAGUCCUGAGUUCAGAGCUCUUAAUGGAACGGGCAAAGUUCUAAGGAGAGAAGCUAUGGAGAUGGGGAAAGGAAACUCAGGUGGAGCAGAGAUGGAGGCACAAGCCAAGGCCUCUGUGAGUCACCAGAAGCAGGGGCAGGACCAGCCUUGGUAACGCUGUGAUUUAGGACAGCCGACAAUCCCAACAUGUGUUAAUUCUAAUACAUUUCUGUCUUUUGAAGCAGUCCUGUUAGGAUCAGUUGGUUAUGGCGGCCCCAGGAGAUGAAUGUAUGAGGACCCAGGUUCAAUUUCCAGCACAAUGUGGCAACUUAAAAGUGUAACUCCAGUCCCAGAGGAGCUGAUGCUUCCUUCUGACCUCAGGGGCCACCGGCAUGAAAGCGUAGGCAAAAGCACCCAUGCACAUAAAAGUAAGUAACUCUCCUGCUUCAGCCAAACAAUGAGUACGCAUCCCUGCCUCUAGAGUGAGUCUCAAGCCCACUGUGUCCUGCUCCUUGGUUACCAGUUUCUUCCGCAUACAUGGCACAAUGGCACCCACCGGGGAGUGUUUUCCUUCCUGACUGUGAAAGGGGACCACUCACAGUGGCCAGCUUCUCCCCACCUCUAGUCUUCCAGCCAGCUUCUCCCCACCUCUAUCUUCUUCUAGCCAGCUUCUCCCUACCUCUAUCUUCUUCCAGCCAGCUUCUCCCCACCUCUAUCUUCUUCCAGCUAGCUUCUCCCUACCUCUAUCUUCUUCCAGCCAGCUUCUCCCCACCCCUAUCUUCUUCCAGCCAGCUUCUCCCCACCUCUAGUCUUCCAGCCAGCUUCUCCCCACCUCUAUCUUCUUCCAGCCAGCUUCUCCCUACCUCUAGUCUUCCAGCCAGCUUCUCCCUACCUCUAUCUUCUUCCAGCCAGCUUCUCCCUACCUCUAGUCUUCCAGCCAGCUUCUCCCUACCUCUAGUCUUCCAGCCAGCUUCUCCCCACCCCUGUCUAUUUCCAGCCAGCUUCUCCCUACCUCUAGUCUUCCAGCCAGCUUCUCCCCACCUCUAGUUUUCCAGCCAGCUUCUCCCCACCCCUAUCUUCUUCCAGCUAGCUUCUCCCUACCUCUAGUCUUCCAGCCAGCUUCUCCCUACCUCUAUCUUCUUCCAGCCAGCUUCUCCCUACCUCUAGUCUUCCAGCCAGCUUCUCCCCACCCCUGUCUUCUUCCAGCUAGCUUCUCCCCACCUCUAUCUUCUUCCAGCCAGCUUCUCCCCACCCCUAUCUUCUUCCAGCCAGCUUCUCCCCACCGCUAGUCUUCCAGCCAGCUUCUCCCCACCUCUAUCUUCUUCUAGCCAGCUUCUCCCCACCUCUAUCUUCUUCCAGCCAGCUUCUCCCUACCUCUAUCUUCUUCCAGCCAGCUUCUCCCUACCUCUAUCUUCUUCCAGCCAGCUUCUCCCCACCCCUGUCUAUUUCCAGCCAGCUUCUCCCCACCCCUGUCUAUUUCCAGCCAGCUUCUCCCUACCUCUAGUCUUCCAGCCAGCUUCUCCCCACCUCUAGUUUUCCAGCCAGCUUCUCCCCACCCCUAUCUUCUUCCAGCUAGCUUCUCCCUACCUCUAGUCUUCCAGCCAGCUUCUCCCCACCCCUGUCUUCUUCCAGCCAGCUUCUCCCUACCUCUAGUCUUCCAGCCAGCUUCUCCCCACCUCUAGUCUUCCAGCCAGCUUCUCCCCACCCCUGUCUUCUUCCAGCUAGCUUCUCCCCACCUCUAGUCUUCCAGCCAGCUUCUCCCCACCUCUAGUCUUCUUCCAGCCAGAUUCUCCCCACCUCUAC